rnacentral:rRNA from 1 species
UACGAAGGGGCUAGCGUUGUUCGGAAUUAUGUACGUGGGCGUAAAGCGUGCGCAGGCGGCUUCUCAAAUGGUCAGGGGUGAAAGCCCAGAGCUCCAACUCUAGGAAUUGCCUUUGAGUACUGAGUGGCUUGAGUACGAGAGAGGGUGAGUGGAAUUCCCAAGUGUAGAGGUGAAAUUCGUAGAUAUUGGGAAGAACACCGGUGGC